GAUGAACGCUGGCGGCGUGCCCAAUACAUGCAAGUCGAGCGAACGGACGAGAAGCUUGCUUCUCUGAUGUUAGCGGCGGACGGGUGAGUAACACGUGGAUAACCUACCUAUAAGACUGGGAUAACUUCGGGAAACCGGAGCUAAUACCGGAUAAUAUUUUGAACCGCAUGGUUCAAAAGUAAAAGACGGUCUUGCUGUCACUUAUAGAUGGAUCCGCGCUGCAUUAGCUAGUUGGUAAGGUAACGGCUUACCAAGGCAACGAUGCAUAGCCGACCUGAGAGGGUGAUCGGCCACACUGGAACUGAGACACGGUCCAGACUCCUACGGGAGGCAGCAGUAGGGAAUCUUCCGCAAUGGGCGAAAGCCUGACGGAGCAACGCCGCGUGAGUGAUGAAGGUCUUCGGAUCGUAAAACUCUGUUAUUAGGGAAGAACAUAUGUGUAAGUAACUGUGCACAUCUUGACGGUACCUAAUCAGAAAGCCACGGCUAACUACGUG
rnacentral:rRNA from 1 species